ensembl:lncRNA
UGCGCGCCCGCGGAGGCUGCGCGGGGCCGGACCCCCCCACCCACCCUCGAAGCGGCCCCGGCCCGCAGGAAGGGGUCACGCGUGGGCACUGCCCGCGGGCGCGUUGCGAGGAGGGCAGCCCCUGAAGUGCCGUGUUCCCUCUCCGUGGCCGUGGUUUAUUUUUGGAGGGAGGUGCGCUGUUUGUUCGGCCGCCCCCCGCGUGGAAGUGCGCCCGGACUCCCAACCCACGCGGCUCCGGCGGCUGCUGCUCGGAACGCCGGCGAAGCCCUCGCUGCGAAAGCGAGAAAAAGUCCGAGCGCAGCCCGAGCGCGAUUUGCAUAAUUGUCGGGAGUUUGAAUUACUGAUUACAACUUGUAAGCUACCGACGGUUAAGGUAUAAUUUGCUUAAUUAUCCGACAAGGUUAUUGCAGCCGGGCUCAAUCCCUCCUAGGUAAAACAGCGCUGAUGGAGCGUCCCCGAUGCGCGGCGGUGCGGGCGGUGCCGCGGCUUUCACGCAGCCCUCACCGAGCGCGCUUCCACCCGACGGCACAGAGCGCUGCCCCCACAGCCACCCCAUCCCUGCGGCGCUGCGCCUCGGACAAAAUGAACAUCGUGCUCAAAAGCAGCGACAUCUCGCAGUGUCGGAAGGUCCGGAUCACCGCUCGUUUACACGAGAGCGGCGGCUGCGGGUUUGCUGCGCUCGGGACAAAGCCGAGCCCGGGCAGCGCGCAGCUCUCGGACCCGCAGCUGCUCCGAAAGGCCGCGGGCGGAACCACGCCGGGAUCGCGACCUGACCGAACCUCCGCCACUUUUUUUUCCUGAAGAUCGGGGAAGAAAAAACAACCAACCAACCAAACGCCACCAAAAACAAUUAAAACCGAACACCCUCAGCGCCUCUUUCCGAUUAAAUGAACGAUCCAAAAAUGAAUCCGAGGCGGCCGGGGCUGCUGCAGGUUGGCGGUGUUAUCAGCCCGACCCGGCACGCGGGUGCUGAUGUGCAGCGUCGCGCUGAGCCCGGCAGCAGCGGGGACUCCGCAUUAUCAUUUUUGGUGGAGUCUCCAUUUAUUUUUUUUAACGACGUUGUUUUUCUUCCAGGGAUGUUUCUUUGAAAUGCAGUUCGCGACGAUUAUUAGCGAGUGUGCUCGCGCGGCUCCUGGCGUCAUUAAGACUAGGAAUCUAAAUAAUAAAAGACAGGGGGAGCUUAAAGUUCAUUUGUAUUAAAGGGACAAGAUGGAUUUAAAGAGAAACGAGGAGGGGAACCGUCGAGCUCCCCAGGUUUGGGAAGAUCGCCCUCCUUCCUCCCGAAGGCAUCCCGCGGUGCGGCAACGUGGGCGUUUUUACCACAGUUUACCUUCUGCUCACAAACGUCACACUGAGGGGCGAUGCAGUUUUUCUCUUUUUUUGGUGUUUUCAAGACCUGAACACCUUCAUUUUGUUUACUUCGGUGGACGAAAGAACGCAGACGAAUUGAGCUCACUAUUUGAUUACAUAUACGUGUAUAUAUGUAAUAUAGAUAAGUAGAGACGUGAAAGAGGGAUUUAGAAGAAAUUACCAAAACAAAAGGACGCCUUGGCUUCCUAGAAAUCCAACCAAGAAAGCAGAGGAGGCUGAGCACGGGGUGUGGAGCGCAGCCCUCGCGGCCGCCCCUCCCGCAGGGAUCCCCGGACCCCCCUCCCCGUGGCGCUGCCGAGCCCGGCCCCGGUGCUGCUAUCGAGGGCUGCUCGGGGCACCUCGGGCCUCUUCCGAGGGUUUGGGGGGAGGGGAACGCCGUGAAGAGUGGUUUUCCGCAGCCCCCCCCCCCCACGUUCACACCUAACCCGGAGAGAAGCGGGCUGGGCGGGGGGCGAUGGAGCAGCUGGGAGGUGAGGUGGCUCCUGGCAGGUGGCAGCUUUCCUGACUUAUUAAAAG